UGCGUAUAUAAAGGGUAUUGAAUCCCCAUAUUUAAGCGAUGUGGGAUGUUAAACAUCCCCUCUCACGUGUAAACCCGAUUGAUAACAACACUUGGAAUUGAUGAAUAGGGAACCACUUACUGUAAAUAAAUUUAGAACUGAACCUGACUCUAAUUCAUUAUUAGAAAAUUCAAUCUAAAAAUUGAAGUUGUUAUGCGGAGUGAGACUAGUCUAUCUAAGGCUUACUGAAACUCUGUAUACCAGUGAUGUGAGAGACUUAAACACAUAGUAUUUUGCUGAGAAAUGAUUACAUUGUUGAAUUAGGUUUGUGCUUUAGAGAUAAUCAACGUAAUCAUGCUAUAUUGAUGGUUAAUGUUUUUUAAUUGAUCUAUUUGAUGACUAUAACUAUUUCCUCGUAACUCAGUUUUCCUUUUAGAUGCCUCUCUUCUACCUUCCUUUGUUCUUCCUUUAUUCCCACUUGCAUCUACUAGAUUUAGAGUCUUAGCUUCUUCUCGGUGAUGUCAGUUCCAUAAUCAGGAUCAUCAUGGUUUGUUUUAGUCCCUUAUCCUAACUGAAGCAAAGGAACUUUAUUUUUGUUCUAUCUUUUGUUUCAGCUUCAUUCAAUCCAGAUUCCAUUAAAUGGAAGUUUGACGUGAUUUUGAUAGUUUUAGGGCUAUUGUUGAAGGUUUUGUAUCUUCAACUGUGACUGCUUCAUAGAUUUAGUUUAUAUUCACAUCUGUACACGGUGUUUUCUGGGCAAAGCCAGUAUGGAACUAUAUGCAUAUGCCACAGCAGUUUAUAAUAUCACAUGUAUGGUACUGAGAUAUGACGUGGGGCAAGGCUCGUAUUUACUUCAAUUUGUUCUGUUUCAAUCAAUUUCAUAGUCUGAUGUUGGCAGUUGCGUUGUUGCUUGUUCUCCCUCUUGAUCCAUCAGAUUAUUUUUUGCCAUGUGUCUUGGUUGCUAAUCUUGCUGUCUCUAAUGUAAGGCCCAUGGUUCAUGUGGAUUAUAUGCCAUUCUAUGUGAGCUUUACAAUAUGCAUUAGUACCCUUUCCGAUUGUACCAAUCGAUCCAUCUGAUCUCAAACCAUUGCAAUUUAUGAUGUUGGUUAUCGUCUUUAUCUACUGACAAAUGAUUCAAACUGUCUUCGCAAUGUCAUAUCAAUGUUUUUCUGUUUUGGUUCAUCGAUUUCUUUUUGUCGAGAGAAGUGUUCGAAAAAGGUCUCAGAAAGCAUCUAUAGGAGGAUCAAUAACAGGGUUAAUGCACUUCUGGUGGAGGCACUCAUCACUAGCCCAUGCAGGUUUUCCUUCAUUCAUCAUGGUUGACACCAGCUUCCUAUUUCGAUCAGGUGCAUGUCAUGUGAGAUUAUCAUAAGUCUCCAUUCUUGAUGGAGAAACUGGUUUCCAGUUAGCGGUGGCUCUUGUUAAUGGCCGACUGCUUUCGCAUUCCAAGAUGCACGCUCGUGCUCCGUCGAGAUAUUGUCCCCGGGAAUGGCCGAGAUGAUGAUAUAUCCAAUCGUAGACUACUGUUUCCGGAUUGCCUCUGGUGGUUGAUGAAUCCCCGCCGUCGUCGGUUGAUGAAAUCUUUGAUAUGUAUUCACCGCACCGGGAAUGCAAUAUCAUUAUCUACUACACGAGUGAAGGAUGCAACUAGUACUCCAAUUUUGACCCACGUCAAAGUUUUUUGAACGUAAAUGCACGAAUCAAUUUUAUUUA